GGAGUCCCUCCUUUUGGCAGGGUAGGUCUACUGGGUUCUUGGCACAGUACCAUAUGGACCUGGACAAAGCAUUGUUAAGUCACAGAUUCCAUAUUGGAGU